UCUCAUGUCUCAGAUUGAACGCUGGCCGCAGGCCUAACACAUGCAAGUCGAGCGGUAGCACAGGGAGCUUGCUCUUGGGUGACGAGCGGCGGACGGGUGAGUAAUGUCUGGGAAACUGCCUGAUGGAGGGGGAUAACUACUGGAAACGGUAGCUAAUACCGCAUAACGUCGCAAGACCAAAGAGGGGGACCUUCGGGCCUCUUGCCAUCAGAUGUGCCCAGAUGGGAUUAGCUAGUAGGUGGGGUAACGGCUCACCUAGGCGACGAUCCCUAGCUGGUCUGAGAGGAUGACCAGCCACACUGGAACUGAGACACGGUCCAGACUCCUACGGGAGGCAGCAGUGGGGAAUAUUGCACAAUGGGCGCAAGCCUGAUGCAGCCAUGCCGCGUGUAUGAAGAAGGCCUUCGGGUUGUAAAGUACUUUCAGCGGGGAGGAAGGCGAUAAGGUUAAUAACCUUGUCGAUUGACGUUACCCGCAGAAGAAGCACCGGCUAACUCCGUGCCAGCAGCCGCGGUAAUACGGAGGGUGCAAGCGUUAAUCGGAAUUACUGGGCGUAAAGCGCACGCAGGCGGUCUGUCAAGUCGGAUGUGAAAUCCCCGGGCUCAACCUGGGAACUGCAUUCGAAACUGGCAGGCUAGAGUCUUGUAGAGGGGGGUAGAAUUCCAGGUGUAGCGGUGAAAUGCGUAGAGAUCUGGAGGAAUACCGGUGGCGAAGGCGGCCCCCUGGACAAAGACUGACGCUCAGGUGCGAAAGCGUGGGGAGCAAACAGGAUUAGAUACCCUGGUAGUCCACGCCGUAAACGAUGUCGACUUGGAGGUUGUGCCCUUGAGGCGUGGCUUCCGGAGCUAACGCGUUAAGUCGACCGCCUGGGGAGUACGGCCGCAAGGUUAAAACUCAAAUGAAUUGACGGGGGCCCGCACAAGCGGUGGAGCAUGUGGUUUAAUUCGAUGCAACGCGAAGAACCUUACCUACUCUUGACAUCCAGAGAACUUUCCAGAGAUGGAUUGGUGCCUUCGGGAACUCUGAGACAGGUGCUGCAUGGCUGUCGUCAGCUCGUGUUGUGAAAUGUUGGGUUAAGUCCCGCAACGAGCGCAACCCUUAUCCUUUGUUGCCAGCGGUCAGGCCGGGAACUCAAAGGAGACUGCCAGUGAUAAACUGGAGGAAGGUGGGGAUGACGUCAAGUCAUCAUGGCCCUUACGAGUAGGGCUACACACGUGCUACAAUGGCGCAUACAAAGAGAAGCGACCUCGCGAGAGCAAGCGGACCUCAUAAAGUGCGUCGUAGUCCGGAUUGGAGUCUGCAACUCGACUCCAUGAAGUCGGAAUCGCUAGUAAUCGUAGAUCAGAAUGCUACGGUGAAUACGUUCCCGGGCCUUGUACACACCGCCCGUCACACCAUGGGAGUGGGUUGCAAAAGAAGUAGGUAGCUUAACCUUCGGGAGGGCG
rnacentral:rRNA from 1 species